UGGCUCAGGACGAACGCUGGCGGCGUGCUUAACACAUGCAAGUCGAACGGUGAACCAGAGCUUGCUCUGGGGAUCAGUGGCGAACGGGUGAGUAACACGUGGGCAACCUGCCCCAGACUCUGGGAUAACCUCGGGAAACCGAUGCUAAUACCGGAUACGACCACUUCGGACAUCCGACGGUGGUGGAAAGUUUUUCGGUCUGGGAUGGGCCCGCGGCCUAUCAGCUAGUUGGUGGGGUAAUGGCCUACCAAGGCGACGACGGGUAGCCGGCCUGAGAGGGCGACCGGCCACACUGGAACUGAGACACGGUCCAGACUCCUACGGGAGGCAGCAGUGGGGAAUAUUGCACAAUGGGCGAAAGCCUGAUGCAGCGACGCCGCGUGAGGGACGACGGCCUUCGGGUUGUAAACCUCUUUCAGCAGGGACGAAGCGAAAGUGACUGUACCUGCAGAAGAAGCACCGGCUAACUACGUG
rnacentral:rRNA from 1 species